UACGUAGGAGGCAAGCGUUGUCCGGAAUUACUGGGCGUAAAGCGCGUGUAGGUGGUGGGACAAGUCUGCUGUGAAAGCGCCUGGCUUAACCGGGCGAGGUCGGCGGAAACUGUUCGACUUGAGGACGGUAGAGGGGGGUGGAAUUCCCGGUGUAGUGGUGAAAUGCGUAGAGAUCGGGAGGAACAUCCGUGGCGAAGGCGACUACCUGGACCAGCACUGACACUGAGGCACGAAAGCGUGGGGAGCAAACAGG
rnacentral:rRNA from 1 species